rnacentral:lncRNA from 1 species
UUAUUUAUGCAUCUUCUUAAAACCAAAGUGACAAUCCUAGAACCUUGGAAUUGGAAAGACCCUUAAACAACAUUGUAACUCAAAACCAAAUCAGUCUAUGAAUCCUAACUACAGCAUCUCUAUCAGUUCCUUGGGGCCUGUUCCUCUUCAUAAAUAGUUCUCACCCCAUGCUGGAAAAUUUCGCCAUUGACGAUGGGUUGCCCCAGGUGGAUGAUGUGCCAAGUGGUUCCCAAAGAGCCCCAGAGACUUCAGCCUAAAGGAUAAAAGGCAAUAUCUGAAGAGGCGAGAGCUGAUCCUGGCUCAAUGGAUAGCUGAAUACCAAUUUCCAACAGGAACAAAAGGUCAUCAGCAAAAACGUUUUAGAAAAGAGCUAUUAUCACUACUUUCCCACCUUCAAUCAAGAUUUCUGCUGAGACUCAUCAUUAAAUAAUACAUCCAGUUAAGCUAGAUUUCAGCCAGAUUAAUGUGAUUCUGUUCAUGUGCCAUCCAAUUUGGAGCAGGAUUUUGACUAUGGAUUUUUUGAGGUGCUGCAUAAUUCAAUGAUGGCUCCAUGGAAAGGGUGCUAGAAUAGAAGCCAAGACUUUGGACUCUUGCUUUGACUCUCUCAUUUUUCCAUGCGUAUUUUUUUUCUUUUGGUAGCAUUGAUAACAAUGACAUUUGGUUGUUUUUGUUGAUUUGUUUAAUAUCUAACAAAACAGAAUUCCGUGAUGUCAUAGAUGUGAUUGUCUUGUU